AACGAACGCUGGCGGCAUGCCUAACACAUGCAAGUCGAACGAUGCCUUCGGGCAUAGUGGCGCACGGGUGCGUAACGCGUGGGAAUCUGCCCUUGGCUUCGGAAUAACAGUUAGAAAUGACUGCUAAUACCGGAUGAUGUCCCCCUGAGAGAUCUUGGGGACCAAAGAUUUAUCGGCCAGGGAUGAGCCCGCGUAGGAUUAGGUAGUUGGUGGGGUAAAGGCCUUCCAAGCCGACGAUCCUUAGCUGGUCUGAGAGGAUGAUCAGCCACACUGGGACUGAGACACGGCCCAGACUCCUACGGGAGGCAGCAGUGGGGAAUAUUGGACAAUGGGGGGAACCCUGAUCCAGCAAUGCCGCGUGAGUGAUGAAGGCCUUAGGGUUGUAAAGCUCUUUUACCAGGGAUGAUAAUGACAGUACCUGGAGAAUAAGCUCCGGCUAACUCCGUG
rnacentral:rRNA from 1 species